rnacentral:rRNA from 1 species
GCUUGCUCUUAUGAAGUUAGCGGCGGACGGGUGAGUAACACGUGGGUAACCUGCCCAUAAGACUGGGAUAACUCCGGGAAACCGGGGCUAAUACCGGAUAACAUUUUGAACCGCAUGGUUCGAAAUUGAAAGGCGGCUUCGGCUGUCACUUAUGGAUGGACCCGCGUCGCAUUAGCUAGUUGGUGAGGUAACGGCUCACCAAGGCAACGAUGCGUAGCCGACCUGAGAGGGUGAUCGGCCACACUGGGACUGAGACACGGCCCAGACUCCUACGGGAGGCAGCAGUAGGGAAUCUUCCGCAAUGGACGAAAGUCUGACGGAGCAACGCCGCGUGAGUGAUGAAGGCUUUCGGGUCGUAAAACUCUGUUGUUAGGGAAGAACAAGUGCUAGUUGAAUAAGCUGGCACCUUGACGGUACCUAACCAGAAAGCCACGGCUAACUACGUGCCAGCAGCCGCGGUAAUACGUAGGUGGCAAGCGUUAUCCGGAAUUAUUGGGCGUAAAGCGCGCGCAGGUGGUUUCUUAAGUCUGAUGUGAAAGCCCACGGCUCACCCGUGGAGGGUCAUUGGAAACUGGGAGACUUGAGUGCAGAAGAGGAAAGUGGAAUUCCAGGUGUAGCGG